AAAAUGUUUUCUUCCUUCGUAAAUAUAGAGAAGGGCAGGCGGGAGUACCUUGAUGCCAUGUGAGGGAGCGAAAUUCUGAAACAAAAGCCAACAGCAAGAGGAACAGAUCAGCAGAACAGUUUUGCAGAUCUUGGUAUGCAGUUGGAGAGGGUGAUUUGGUGCAAAUCUGCUUGAGGAAGCUCUAAAUUAUGAAGUUGCGUUUGCAGCUUCUCGGUGUUAUGGUGGUCCUUCACAAGGCGUUCAAGUAUCGACGUAGGGAGAGGAUUUUCGAAAGACUGCUCGGGAAGUAUAAAGCUGAUGUUAUUAAGUGUUUGUCAGCUUCCCACAAUUGAAAGAGACUGAGAAUGUCGUGACCCCUACUUUUUCCCUCUUUCCAUAGCUUCAGUGUUGCCUUUAGUUCUUUACAGGGAAGAGUUAUUCUACUCGAGCAGUUGUAAAAUGAUUAGAAUGUCUUGUUUAUUUAAGGAA